UACGUAGGGGGCUAGCGUUGUCCGGAUUUAUUGGGCGUAAAGAGCGUGUAGGCGGCCAUGUAGGUCCGGUGUGAAAACUGGAGGCUUAACCUCCAGACGUCGAUGGAAACCGUAUGGCUAGAGUCCGGAAGAGGAGAGUGGAAUUCCUGGUGUAGCGGUGAAAUGCGCAGAUAUCAGGAAGAACACCCGUGGCGAAGGCGGCUCUCUGGGACGGUACUGACGCUGAGACGCGAAAGCGUGGGGAGCGAACAGG
rnacentral:rRNA from 1 species